rnacentral:rRNA from 1 species
UACGUAGGGGGCUAGCGUUAUCCGGAAUUACUGGGCGUAAAGGGUGCGUAGGCGGGCUAUUAAGUCAGUGGUGAAAUCCUGCAGCUUAACUGCAGAACUGCCGUUGAUACUGAUAGUCUUGAGUUUGGUUAAGGUAGGCGGAAUGUGUAAUGUAGCGGUGAAAUGCUUAGAUAUUACACAGAACACCAAUUGCGUAGGCAGCUUACUGAGCCGACACUGACGCUGAGGCACGAAAGCGUGGGGAUCAAACAGGAUUAGAUA